CCGCGCUCCUCCCGCGAGGAGCCGCCACCCCCGCCUCUUGUGUUUUGAAGGAAAGGAAAAACAGAAAGAAUCGCGGCGGAAAGCGAGGUGGAGAGGAUUCCAGCCAGUCCCAGCCGCUUUCCCUCUUCCGGGAAAAGCCGGGUGACGCAUGCUGAGCCGUCACUGAGCUGGAGGCGCUGUGCUGCGCGUGGCCGUCAAGUCUCACUUUCGUCUCAGAAUCUGGUGGACACCGUCGGUUUCUCCAUUUUACUGAACUUGAGAAAGCUGUGCCCAAUGUCACAUG
rnacentral:lncRNA from 1 species